GGCCUGGUGGUGUAAUGGUUAACGCACGUUAAAUGCAUGGGCGCGUAGAUUGGCCCUUCGCGAGCUCUCCGUUCGAUUCGGAGUCAGGCCA